GUGGAGGAGGUAAAACAGGAUUUCCAGUCACAGCUGCUUCUGGAUUAUCAUGUCUAUGUUGUUCUACUAGACAUCGAACAUCAUGAAUUAAGGCAACAGGAUCACGAAUUAGCUCAGGCACAUUCUUCUUAGUAGAAGUAGCUGCUUCGCGCGUCAAUGGGUGUUCCAAACCUUCGGAUACGAUUUGUAAUUCUUCUUUUUCGACGCAUCUGUACGAUUUGAUGAUUUUUUUUUAACAGGAAAAGGAAGGAUGAUAGAAGGAAAGGAAAUAGAGGAAAAUAGAUGGAAUCAAAGGACUUACAAGGCACAAGGUUGAGUGGGAGCAAUAUAUUCAAUAGGAGGCACUUUCAAUCUAGGUCUUCUUUCUUCGUCAAUUCGCAAUUGUUGCGUUUUCGUAGCUCUAUCCAGCCAAUAUACCUUGUGGAACAUU